AUGCACGCUGGCGGCGUGCUUCACCCAUGCAAGUCGCACGGAAAGGCUCCUGCUUGCAGGGGUACUCGAGUGGCGAACGGGUGAGUAACACGUGGGUGAUCUGCCCUGCACUUCGGGAUAAGCCUGGGAAACUGGGUCUAAUACCGGAUAGGACAAUGGUUUGGAUGCCAUUGUGGAAAGUUUUUCGGUGUGGGAUGAGCUCGCGGCCUAUCAGCUUGUUGGUGGGGUAAUGGCCUACCAAGGCGUCGACGGGUAGCCGGCCUGAGAGGGUGUACGGCCACAUUGGGACUGAGAUACGGCCCAGACUCCUACGGGAGGCAGCAGUGGGGAAUAUUGCACAAUGGGCGCAAGCCUGAUGCAGCGACGCCGCGUGGGGGAUGACGGCCUUCGGGUUGUAAACUCCUUUCGCUAGGGACGAAGCGCAAGUGACGGUACCUGGAGAAGAAGCACCGGCUAACUACGUG
rnacentral:rRNA from 1 species